rnacentral:misc_RNA from 1 species
GGAAGUAAAAGUCGUAAUAAGGUUUCCGUAGGUGAACCUGCGGAAGGAUCAUUAAAGAGAAUAUGCCCUUCGGGGUAGAUCUCCCACCCUUUGUUUAUAUUACCUUUGUUGCUUCGGCAGGCCCGUCUUCGGACCACCGGCUUCGGCUGGUCAGUGCUUGCCAGAGGACCCAAAACUCUUAUUAUUAAUGUCGUCUGAGUACUAUAUAAUAGUUAAAACUUUCAACAACGGAUCUCUUGGUUCUG